CACCUUCCAAAGUUAUCCCAACUAUGUUUUGAUACAUUUUAAAGCAUCCUCAAUUUGAAAUCUCAAAGCAUGUAAAUGAAAGCGUCUUGAACUUCUUCCUCUGUGACAUGCAACCUGCAAAUAUAAAAACAUAAGAUUUUAAAGCCAACAGUCGUGAAUUUUCUUGCUUGAAAAUGUGAAAGAUCAAUUAAAAGCAUAAUCCAAUUCCUUGUACUUUACCAAUGAAGAAUGCUAAAAAAACACGUACAUAAAUGUGUAUUAUACUGCACCUAAGAGGAUUUAAGGAGAACCUAACAAAAAAGAAUGAAGAGAGUGAUUACAUAUUACACAGAAUGAGAAUCCAAGUUCAAGCGAGUGCAUUCAGGAUUUUUAUAGUGAAAAAAUUGAACACGGAGUGCAGAAUCAAGCAGUGUUUCAACAGAAUAUUCUAAAAAGCCAGAUGAAAUGAGCAAAACAAGUCGCAAAAGGCUUAAACCAGGAGAGAAUCCUAGGACAAGGCCAAGACAUCGGCAAAUGAUCCAAGAUCGUGUGAAGGAACUUAGAGAAAUUGUGCCUAAUGGGGCAAAGGUGAUACACAUCCCUUGACACUUGGAAUUCCUGUUUACCCUUUGAUAUUUUUAUUUUAUUAUUUUCCAAUUUUGUAACUGAAAAUUUUGCUCUUACUAAUGCUUUCUCACCUGUCUCCCCACUAUCAAUGCUAUAUUGCAGCAACCUCCUUCAUUAGAGAACCCACUACUUAUUCAGAGGCUAUCAAAGAUCAGAGAUGGAUUGAUGCUAUGAAGGCUGAAAUUCAGGCUUUGGAAAGCAAAUCAGACUUGGCAGAUUACUGAUCUACUCUUGGUAAAAGGCCUAUUGGCUGCAAAUGGAUUUACAAAGUUAAAUAUAAGUCCACAGGGGAAAUAGACAGGUUCAAGGCAAGGUUGGUUGCCAAAGGAUAUAGUCAGCAGGAAGGUAUUGAUUACUCAGAGACUUUCUCAUCUGUUGUCAAGAUGGUUACAGUGAGUCUAUUGUUGCUCUAGCUGCUUCUAGACAGUGGCAUAUUCACCAAAUGGAUGUCUUUAAUGCAUUCUUACAGGGUGAUUUGACGGAUGAAAUUUACAUGCACCUGCCUCAAGGUUUUGUCAAUCAAGGGGAGAAGGUGUGUAGACUAACAAAAUCUCUCUAUGGACUGAAGCAAGCCCCGAGGCAUGAACGUAAAGUGAAAAAAUAGCUCAAUUGUGAGCUUUUACAGAGAGCUUCUAGGAGCUUCUGAAUUCUUUGUAUUGCAGAAUGAAUUGUGUUACUUAGAGUACUACAAGACAUCUAUAUUUAUACACAUCAGUGAACUAACUCUAACUAACUCAGUUGGUUAUAACUAACUAUUACAAAAUGACUUUUCUGCCCUUAACGACUUAACUGAUUCCUAACUUUCACACUCUUCUUCAAAUGUUCUCUUACGGGGAAAAUAAUCUUUGUUAUGGUAUAUAGGAGUUAUAAAAUGGACCUCCUAAAGUAGAUAUGAGGUGAUCAUGUUGCAGUCUGGAUAGACCUUUGGUUAGGAUAUCUGCUGGUUGUUCUUUAGUUGAGAUGUAGUCUACUUUGAUUAGCCCCUUUUGUAGUUUCUCCCGUAUGAAAUGACAAUCAAUUUCAAUAUGCUUCGUUCUUUUGUAGAAUACUGGAUUUGCUGCAAUCUGAAUUGCAGCCUUACUGUCACUGUAUAUUUGAACUGGCAAUUGAAUCUCAACCCCCACUUCCUUCAGCAUUCCAAGUAGCCAUACUAACUCUGAUACUGUGGUGGCUAGACUUCUGUACUCAGCUUCAGCUGAACUUCUGGACACAGUGGUUUGUUUCUUGGCUAUCCACGACACUAGUGACUUACCAAUUUUAACCAUAUACCCUGUAACAGACUUUCUAGUAAUUGCACAUGAGGCCCAAUCAGCAUCACAGUAAGCAGUCACUAAGUCAUUAGAGUUACUGGCAAACACUAAUCCUUGUCCAGGUUGCCUUUUAAGAUAUCUUACCACUCUUAAGGCUGCAUCCAGAUGUGACUUCUUUGGAUGUUGUAGAAAUUGACUUAGUGUUUGAGUGUUGAAGGUUAUAUCUGGCAUGGUCAUAUUCAAAUACAGCAGUUUGCCAAUUAACUUCUGAUACAUGGUUUGAUCUACCAGUGGAUCAUCUGAGUCUUCUUGCUGUCUGUUUGUCUGCUCAUCAUACUCCUUGGAUGUUAGUUUGACAUUGAUGUCAAUAGGAGUUCCAGCAGGCUUAGCUGCUGUCAUGCCCACUUCAGAUAUAAGUUCAAGAGUGUACUUCCUUUGAUGCAUUAGUACACCUUCAGAAGACCUUGUAAACUCAAUGCCUAGAAAGUAUUUUAACUCUCCCAAAUCCUUCAUUUUAAAAGCCUGCUGUAGUGACUUCUUGGUUUCUUCAAGCUACUCCCAGUUACUAACAUAUCAUCCUCAUACUCUGCUUAAUGGACAAAUUACAUCUGGAUCUGCAAAUGGAAGUGCAACAUCAGGAAAUCCAGCUCCAGGACAAGGUAUUGACUAUAAUCAUCCUCUAUUUCUUAGUCCUACUGAUGUGAGUGGGAUCAGUAUCAUCUCGUUUCAGUUGUUAGGAAUUGAGAAUUAUACCUUGUGGAGUAGAUCAGUUAGGCUAGCUCUGCUAGGGAGGAACAAAAUUGGUCUGAUUGAUGGCACUUCUAGAAAGGAGGUAUACAGCGACGACUUAGGAGGACAUUGGGAAAGAGUGAAUGCAAUUGUGUUAUCCUGGCUCAUGAACUCAGUGUCUAAGAGUUUACUGAGUAGAAUAGCUUUUGCUACUACUGCGUUUGAUGUUUGGAAUGACUUAAAGGAAAGGUUUGACAGAGUGGAUGGGUCUAGAACCUAUAGUCUCCAUAAAGUUAUAACCUCUUUACAACAAGGAACUGCUUCUGUGUCUGUGUACUACACGAGACUGAAUCUGAUUUCAGUGUAGCAUUGAUGCACUGUUCGAACGCACGAUCAAACACAUGCUUUUCUUGCAAAGUGUCACAAAACAUGCAGACAAACUAAAACAGACUGGAGAGUCAGCCUUAUUCUCAUGAUACUGAAAAAGUUGAGUUUUCUUAUUGAUAUACUGUGUUGGGAUUCGGUACUUAAAAUUAUGGCUGGAAAUCAAGAAAAAAUAAAGCUUCCAAGUUCAAGAAAGUCAGAAAAGAAUAUGAUAACAUAAUUACGCUCUACAUAAUUUCUCAGGUUUUUAUCAACAAGGAUAGCUAGUUUAAGCUAUAAGUUUCGUUGUUAAUAAAUCAUAUAGGAGGCCUGAAUUUCAUGUGAGAAUUGGUCACCACUUCUGUCCGUUUUGAACCAGCAGAUUAUCAGUAAGGAAGGAGGAUCCUUUUGAAGGUGGAGCAACAUGGGCAUAUGAAGUAGGCUCACAGUCUAUGGUCUGCCCUAUUAUAGUUGAGGAUCUUCCACCAUGGGCAUAUGAAGUAGGCUCACGGUCUAUGGUCUGCCCUAUUAUAGUUGAGGAUCUAAAUCAACCUCGUCAAAUGCUUGUGGAGGUUAAUUUCUAUGCAUCUCAAAAAAUCAUCCUUUUGUUCACUCUCUAGCAUAUCUGACAGGACAUCUAUUACUGGAAAAAUAUGACUGAUGGUUCAUCUAAACUUUCUGUUCUCUGCAGAUGCUUUGCGAGGAACGGGGCUUAUUUUUGGAAAUAGCUGACAUUAUAAGAGGAUUGGGCUUGACUAUCCUGAUGGGGGUGAUGGAAACAAGGAAUGACAAAAUAUGGGCACAAUUUGUUGUAGAGGUAACCAAUCAAGAUUUGGAUGUAACCUGCUACUUGUACUCUCACAAUUUUUGCUUGGUUGUUUAUCAUGACUUACAAUUUGCUAUUUAAAAACAGGCGAACAGAGAUGUCACAAGGAUGGAGAUAUUCAUCUCACUCGUUCGCCUCUUGGAGCAAACAGCAAAAGGUGGAACAGAACCUGUCAAUGCUGCUGAUAACAACACAACAAUGGUGCAUUCCUUCCACCAAGCAGCGACAUUACCUGCAACUGGUAGAUCUUGUAGUUUGUUGUGAUCAACAUGUUACUACUGCUUCACCUGGUAAUGUUAAGAGAAAGCGACAAUUACAUGCUUGCCAUGACUAACAUUUACACCAAAAUGAUACUUCUGGUGGUUCUAACAAAACUCGGUAAUUUUUGUGUCCCAUGAGCCAAGGUGUAUCAAAAAUUCAGAAUCCCCUGAAGAGCAUAAGCUCUACUUUAGGCCCUCAUUCAAGGUGGAUAGAAUAUUCCAAUCCACCCCUGGUUGUAAACUUGUAAAAUAUGUAGCAAUCAAAUGCUAUAAAAUACCUCCUGUAGGAUGCUAUGAUUGCACAAGUUAGUUGUUGUUUUGAUUCUUUCCUUAAAUGUGCUUGUUUUAUGGGGUUGGUCAUAAAAGGGUUGUUUGUUAGUUUAAUGUAUACGAAAGUUUGAGAUGAUAUUACACUAUCCAACUUCCAAGAUGGAGAGAGGAAAGUGUAGAAACUCAUAAAAAGCUAGUUGAAUUGUCAUCUGCAUUUGUAUCUACAAACAACCCAAAGAAGACUAAUUGAAUGCUUUUGAGAUGUAGAAAGCGGUUCAUCAUAGGCAGAAGGUGUUUGUCCUUCUAGAUCAAUGUCUUCACUAACAUGUAUUACCUUAGCUAUGUGAGUUAUGUCAAUUACAUCAUUUACCACUUCAGCUUUAGAGUCCCCUCCCCCAAAGUCGUUGACUCAGAGAUAUAGAUGGUGUAUUUAAUUUCUUGUACUUUACUUCUAAUGACACGUUUCUCAUCACCUAGAACACUUUAUUCUUCUUUUUCUUCAUCUUUUACUGUAUAUUUUUACAUUAGAUUUUAUAUAUAAUAAUCAACAACCUAUUCUUGAUAAAUGAUAAAUUUAGCUGUAUAAACUACAAAUUGCAAAGAAACAUUUUAUUCUAGUGAUGUCGAUGUAUCAGUGAAAGAGAUGAUCAGGUAAGAGAAGACAUGGUCAAAGUAAUUAGAAACAUUCUGCAUUUAGUAGAAGAAGAUGAGUUUAUCAAUAACAAAAAUCCUUCUGUGAAAUUGUACAAAACUAAACUUAACCUACCUAAUGAAAUCAGAAAUACAACAAAAUUUAAGUAGGCUUUCAAUAAUUAAUCCAACUUGAAAACUCACUCUUCUUCAUAGGUUCCAAUGAUAUUUUAAGAAAAGCGAUGGACAACAUCACUUUUUUAAAAACGUUUGACCAAACACUUUGACCGAAAGCGAUGAAUAAACCGAUGUUGGCAAAUGCUUAUUUAAAAAAAAAUGAUAAAUUAAAAUUAAUUAAGAACGAUGGACGGCGUCAUUAUUAAUUAAUUUAUAAUUAAUUAUUUUUAAUUAAAAGCAAUGGAUGACGAUCCUACAUAUAUUAAAUUAUUAAUAUUAUAUAUAUUUAAAACAAAAAUCCGUCAAAAAUAACGACAGACAUAGUCACUGUCCGUCACUUUUAAUUAAAAAGUUUUAAGAAAAUAAAAAUGACAGCCAGCGUCGCAAAUGGCAUCGCUCCAAAAGCGACGAUUAUUGGCUCCGUCAUUUUUUCCCUUGUUUUUAAUAGUGAUCUAGCUCAUUUUUCAAGUUAUUUUGUUUAUGUGCAACUUUGGGGGCCUCUUAAUUAAAGAUAUGUAUGAUAAUCAUCCCUGCUAUUUUGACUAUGAGAAAGACAAUUUUCUACCAUUUUUGAAAAUCCUCAAUUCUGUUCAGAUCUUGGGGCAUUAUAUGUGAUGAGUUUAGAAAAUUACUAUGCCGUUAUUCACGUGCCAGAAAUGAAAAAUAAAGAAAAUUUGUGGCUACUCAGCUAAGUUACCACACAUUAUAUAUAAAGAAAAUUUGUUAUUACCAAGUCGGAUGAAAGCUACCUUAUUUUAACUCAGUUUUCUGGUAUGGCUGGAUACCACAAAAACCUCCAUUGCCAUCAGUUAUUGGCUUCUGAAAGAGCAAUUAACAACACUAGAUAGUUAUCUAAAAACAAAUCAACUUGACUUCCAUACAAAUCUAAGCUCUACAAAUAUUUCUGUUAGUUAUCUGAUUCAUGAAGGAUAACAUUACUAACCUAAAAAGCCAUAGCAGAAAUUAUUGCAACAAAUAUCUCAACCCUAUGUACCACUAA
rnacentral:lncRNA from 1 species